CAAUAGCGUAUAUUAAAGUUGUUGCGGUUAAAAAGCUCGUAGUUGGAUUUCUGCCGAGGACGACCGGUCCGCCCUCUGGGUGAGUAUCUGGUUCGGCCUGGGCAUCUUCUUGGAGAACGUAUCUGCACUUGACUGUGUGGUGCGGUAUCCAGGACUUUUACUUUGAGGAAAUUAGAGUGUUUCAAGCAGGCACACGCCUUGAAUACAUUAGCAUGGAAUAAUAAGAUAGGACCUUGGUUCUAUUUUGUUGGUUUCUAGGACCAGGAUAAUGGUUAAUAGGGAUAAUUGGGGGCACUCGUAUCAUGACGUCAGAGGUGGAAUUCUUGGAUUGUCAUGCGACGAACUACUGCGAAAGCAUUUGCCAAGGAUGUUUUCAUUGAUCAAGAACGAAAGUUAGGGGAUCGAAGAUGAUUAGAUACCAU
rnacentral:rRNA from 1 species